CCUAGCUACAGAUUUUUAUAUACGUUUGGAAUUAUUAGGUAUUGAACAAUGCUCUGAUUUAAAAUAGCCAAAUCUGACUGCGACACUGAAAUAAGCUUAGUCCACCACAUCUCCACGUCAUGGUACACGUACGUUUCGUUUCGAAAUUGUAAUAGUCGGAACGCAGAAUUAAAAGUCAGUGGAACUUAGCCAUUCUCAUGUUCGUUUUGUGAAGUAACCUUUGCAUUGCCGAAAAAGAAAAUAUAAAUGUAUAAAGUAUUGCCAGUAAUAUUAAAUGGCACAUUUUUUAAGCCGGACUGCAAGUGCGUGUUGUGUCUCAAUAAAACAAUCAAAUUUGAUGAUAAAUCUGCACAAACAUAUUUGAGAAUGAAAAUAUGACUAGGGGGGGUUCAUCCAAGCAGUUACACGGAGUAAGAGGCCAUGAAAGCUAAGAAAACUGAAACUAAUAAGGAACUUUCUAAGGAAAAUUCAAAAUCGUUUUUCGGUUCCUUGAGUUCAGCCCAGAUCAAUCAGAAAGUGUGCCACUACAUCGUGGGGGAGAUUUUACCAAAAUUUCACGUUGAGCAUUACACAAAUUUAACAGCUUAACAUAAAUAUAAACGCAUUUUGGAUGUAUUCCUAAAAUGCAAUGAAAUUCUGCCCAGCUCAGCGCGAGUUGAAAUAUUUUUUUAAUUGUGAACCCCAAUACGAAACAAGCUGGGGGACGAGUUUUUCGAAAAAUUAGUUAUGUUAAAAAAAGACAACAUUUAAAUUUUGAUUGUUAUAUGAAAAUGAAAAGAUAAUGUUAUUUUUAAGAGGACUAAAACCUGAAACCUAGUCUUAUUUUAAGUUGAAUUGAUUCGCCAAUGUAAUAAAUCAAACAAACAAAUAAAUAAAACAAAAAAAUCAUAAAAAUUAAAAACACUCGGAAAAUGAAGUAUCUUUACCGUACCUAGGUAUUUAUUUUUGCCAAAGAGCUUU